GAUGAAGAACGUAGCGAAAUGCGAUAAGUAAUGUGAAUUGCAGAAUUCAGUGAAUCAUCGAAUCUUUGAACGCACCUUGCGCCUUUUGGUAUUCCGAAAGGCACACCUGUUUGAGCGUCAUGAAUACCUCAAUCUCCAUCUUUUCUUCGGAUUGAUGGGUGACUUGGAUGUUGAGCCCUGCUGGUAUGCUAUAUCAGCUGGCUUUAAACUUAUUAGCCGGCUCUGUACUGGAUCGGUUUGACUCGACGUGAUAAUAUUAUCGUUGAGGAUGCAUGUCUCAUGCAGCCGGAAGGUAUCAAAGCAGCUUCUAGCUUGCCUUUAGUGCACUUUUACAUUUUAGACCUCAGAUCAGGUGGGACUACCCGCUGAACUUAAGCAUAUCAAUAAGCGGAGGA
rnacentral:misc_RNA from 1 species